GUGAACGCUGGCGGUAGGCCUAACCCAUGCAAGUCGAACGGCAGCACAGUAAGAGCUUGCUCUUACGGGUGGCGAGUGGCGGACGGGUGAGGAAUACAUCGGAAUCUACUUUUUCGUGGGGGAUAACGUAGGGAAACUUACGCUAAUACCGCAUACGACCUACGGGUGAAAGCAGGGGAUCUUCGGACCUUGCGCGAUUGAAUGAGCCGAUGUCGGAUUAGCUAGUUGGCGGGGUAAAGGCCCACCAAGGCGACGAUCCGUAGCUGGUCUGAGAGGAUGAUCAGCCACACUGGAACUGAGACACGGUCCAGACUCCUACGGGAGGCAGCAGUGGGGAAUAUUGGACAAUGGGCGCAAGCCUGAUCCAGCCAUACCGCGUGGGCGAAGAAGGCCUUCGGGUUGUAAAGCCCUUUUGUUGGGAAAGAAAAGCAGCAGGUUAAUACCCCGCUGUUCUGACGGUACCCAAAGAAUAAGCACCGGCUAACUUCGUG
rnacentral:rRNA from 1 species